GUGUUCGCUUCGGCAGCACAUAUACUAAAAUUGGAACGAUACAAAGAUUAGCAUGGCCCCUGUGUAAGGAUGAUAUGCAAAUUCGUAAAGCAUUCCAUAUUUUA